UUUCGAAUCAUUCACAAUGGGCGAAAGCCUGAUGGUGCGACGCCGCGUGAGGGAUGAAGGCCUUCGGGUCGUAAACCUCUGUCACCGGGGAAGAAACGCUGCAAUUUAACAGAUUGCAGCCUGACUUAACCCGGAGAGGAAGCAGUGGCUAACUCUGUGCCAGCAGCCGCGGUAAUACAGAGACUGCAAGCGUUAUUCGGAUUCACUGGGCGUAAAGGGUGCGCAGGCGGCCAUGUGUGUCAGGUGUGAAAGCCCGAGGCUCAACCUCGGAAUUGCGCCUGAAACUACAUGGCUAGAGUACUGGAGAGGGUAGCGGAAUUCAUGGUGUAGCAGUGAAAUGCGUAGAUAUCAUGAGGAACACCAGAGGCGAAGGCGGCUACCUGGACAGUUACUGACGCUCAGGCACGAAAGCGUGGGGAGCAAAAGG
rnacentral:rRNA from 1 species